rnacentral:rRNA from 1 species
AUGCCCAAGGGGCAGCGUCGGCCACUCUGCUCCGGUGGAUUUCUGGAUUGCUGCACUGGCCCUUCUCCUGUAGCUCACGCUGUGUGGGUCUCCAGUGAUCCUUUCAUGCAUGUGCGCAGGGUCGAUCGAGAUUCCAGAGGCGGCUUGUAUCUGGCAUUUUGGGCAACAAUGGCCCACGAGUGUGUAUCUGGUUUUCCUAUCUCAAGUAAAAUGAGUGCGUCGCUCUUCAGAUUAUGUACAUUUUUUUUAUUUCAAAGAAAUUUAUUUAUUUUUUGCAAGGAAACAAGACUAAAGAUUUAA